UUUUCAGAAUUCUCAAAAAGCUAUAGUGACAUGUAGUAAUUGUGGACAAACAGGACAUAACAAACGAACAUGUCAAAUAGAGCCAGUUCCUAAACCACCUAAGCCGCCUUCAGAAUUUCCUUCUUAUCAUGCCAAAGUUAUUGUGAAAUGUAGCAAUUGUCAACAAACAGGACACAACAAGCGCAAAUGUCAUCUUGAGCCAGUGUCUAAGCCACCCAAUCUGCCUCUAG